rnacentral:rRNA from 1 species
AGUGAACGCUGGCGGCAGGCCUAACACAUGCAAGUCGAACGGCAGCACAGGGGAGCUUGCUCCCUGGGUGGCGAGUGGCGGACGGGUGAGGAAUACAUCGGAAUCUGCCUAUACGUGGGGGAUAACCUCGGGAAACCGGGACUAAUACCGCAUACGACCUACGGGUGAAAGCAGGGGACCUUCGGGCCUUGCGCGGAUAGAUGAGCCGAUGUCGGAUUAGCUAGUUGGCGGGGUAAAGGCCCACCGAGGCGACGAACCGUAGCUGGUCUGAGAGGAUGAUCAGCCACACUGGAACUGAGACACGGGCCAGACUCCGACGGGAGGCAGCAGUGGGGAAUAUUGGACAAUGGGCGCAAGCCUGAUCCAGCCAUGCCGCGUGGGUGAAGAAGGCAUUCGGGUUGUAAAGCCCUUUUGUUGGGAAAGAAAAGCAGUCGAUUAAUACCCGAUUGUUCUGACGGUACCCAAAGAAUAAGCACCGGCUAACUUCGUGCCAGCCGCCGCAGUAA